UCGCGCACACACACGUGCGUGCACCCGCGCGCGCGCGCGUUCCACUCACUCUCUUUCUCUCUCUCUCUCACGCGCGCUUUCGCUCUUUCACACCCGUCACAAGCGGAUUUCCCGCGUGCACCCGCACGUAACACGUUAUUAAUGCCGGACGCGAUGAGAAGACGUUCGCGCCGCCGCGUGCAAGCGGCAACUCGGUGUCCGACGGCCGACGCCGGUUAUCACGUAUCGAUCGCGCGCGACGAUUUCGCGGCACGCACGUACGUCGGACACGCGGGAACCGGAGGCGGGCACGCACGCACGGCCGUGACAGCCAUUUGCAUUCGCUGCUAUCUCCCCGGCACGGCUUCCUGCGAGCGCUUCGCCAGCACGCGGGAAGAUCGGACGUCGCGCAAGAUGGUUCCGGCCGGCUAAAAGACACGAGGGGGGGAGAGGAGGGAAGAGGUACGUCGGAGCCGACGGUGCGUGUGCGAGAGCGCCGUCGCCGCUUGGCCCGCGCGAAACGUCCAACCGAUCGCCGAUCGGCGCGCGCGACGUUUCGACCCUUCCUCCCGCGGCACGUUCGACGACUGUGCGACCCCAACACCGCGAGUUCUUGCCGGAGCACCUUCGAUCGCGAGCGCGGUCACUUAACCUAUCGACAGCGAGCGCGUCCGGAAAGCGAUCGCGCGGCUACGAACGAACGCGAUUGGCGUACAAGCUCGCGCGCCGAUAGGCCGCCGAGCGCACUGUCCUCCUCUCGGUGGGUUUGGGAGCGCGCCCGGCACUGCACGGAAUCCGCCUCUCGGUGGGUUUGGGAACGCGCCCGGCACUGGACGGAAUUUGCCUCUCGGCGCGUGAGAUAUCGGGCUCUACAAAUUCCCAGGGCGUAAGCGAUGAAGCCGUCUACACAGAUACCAACCAUUUGUUUGGAAUAGAAUGGAACCUUUGGAGCCCGAUAUCUCUGGAACGUUAAAUAGGUCCAUUCUGAGACUGACAUAUCUGUAAUCAGCUUGACGAUCAUCUUUAGAUACGCCAAUGAAAUGUUUCGUACAGCAUCUUCAGAUAAACUCAAGACGUGAAUAUAAGAUCGGACUGUGAAUACCGGCCCUAGACUGCUACCUUCGAGCUUUGAAAAGUGAGGCAAGAGUUCCGCCAUGUCUUGUUAGGAUAUCGCGGCAUUGCAGUAACUUCUGAUGCUUUAUUAUACACGUCCUUAGAAGGUCUGACAAGUUGUCGGUGGACAAAGGA